UACGUAGGGUGCGAGCGUUAAUCGGAAUUACUGGGCGUAAAGGGCGCGUAGGCGCCUCCUAAGUCAGACGUGAAAUCCCCCGGCUUAACCUGGGAACUGCGUCUGAUACUGGGAGGCUAGAGUGCGGGAGAGGGAUGCGGAAUUCCAGGUGUAGCGGUGAAAUGCGUAGAUAUCUGGAGGAACACCGGUGGCGAAGGCGGCGUUCUGGACUGCAACUGACACUGAGGAACGAAAGCCAGGGUAGCAAACGGG
rnacentral:rRNA from 1 species